UACGGGGGGAGCAAGCGUUGUUCGGAUUUACUGGGCGUAAAGGGCGCGUAGGCGGCCACUGCAAGUCGAUUGUGAAAUCUCCGGGCUUAACCCGGAAAGGUCAGUCGAUACUGCAGGGCUAGAGUGCAGAAGGGGCAACCGGAAUUCUCGGUGUAGCGGUGAAAUGCGUAGAUAUCGAGAGGAACACCUGCGGCGAAGGCGGGUUGCUGGGCUGACACUGACGCUGACAGCGCGAAAGCUAGGGGAGCAAACAGG
rnacentral:rRNA from 1 species